rnacentral:rRNA from 1 species
UACGUAGGGGGCAAGCGUUGUCCGGAUUUAUUGGGCGUAAAGAGCGUGUAGGCGGCCAUACAGGUCAGCUGUGAAAACUCGAGGCUCAACCUCGAGACGUCGGUUGAAACCGUAUGGCUAGAGUCCGGAAGAGGAGAGUGGAAUUCCCGGUGUAGCGGUGGAAUGCGCAGAUAUCGGGAAGAACACCCGUGGCGAAGGCGGCUCUCUGGGACGGUACUGACGCUGAGACGCGAAAGCGUGGGGAGCGAACAGG